UAGGGCGUAAGAGCUAAGAUGGCGGCGUUUACAUAGUUCCGUGCUUACCGGCGUUGGCAAGGCAGCUAAAGGAUAACUCUACUAAGGAAAGUUCAAGAAACUCGCCGGUUUAUGUGUUCUGG
rnacentral:lncRNA from 1 species